rnacentral:rRNA from 1 species
GUGCCAGCAGCCGCGGUAAUACGGAGGGGGCUAGCGUUGUUCGGAAUUACUGGGCGUAAAGCGCACGUAGGCGGAUCAGAAAGUUGGGGGUGAAAUCCCGGGGCUCAACCUCGGAACUGCCUUCAAAACUAUUGGUCUUGAGUUCGAGAGAGGUGAGUGGAAUUCCGAGUGUAGAGGUGAAAUUCGUAGAUAUUCGGAGGAACACCAGUGGCGAAGGCGGCUCACUGGCUCGAUACUGACGCUGAGGUGCGAAAGCGUGGGG